UACGUAGGUGACAAGCGUUGUCCGGAUUUACUGGGCGUAAAGAGCGCACAGGCGGUCGUUCAAGUCGAGUGUGAAAGCCCCCGGCUCAACUGGGGAGGGUCACUCGAUACUGAUCGACUCGAAGGCAGGAGAGGGAAGUGGAAUUCCCGGUGUAGUGGUGAAAUGCGUAGAUAUCGGGAGGAACACCAGUGGCGAAGGCGACUUCCUGGCCUGUUCUUGACGCUGAGGCGCGAAAGCUAGGGGAGCAAACGGG
rnacentral:rRNA from 1 species